GGUUUGCAGAGGGAGAAUAAAGUUACAAGUGUCUAGCAUUUUGCUGAGAGAGAAUGAAAUCAGAUGCUGAAUGGAGCGGAUAGGAAAGGCUGGGAAAAUGUGGAGCUGGCAGAACUGCCAGGCAUGACAGAUGAAUCUAGCUGUGGUACUCCAUAUUCAUACAGCUAGCUGGAAUUUUGAAUUUGCAUCUUUUGCCUCCAGUAAAGCCCGCAGGAAGAAACUUCACAAGACACAGCCGGAACUUGUUCAGAGUAGAAGUUGCCGGGCCCUGCUAAUCCUGGGCGGUGAUAAGGAGUCCUUCCAGGAGG
rnacentral:lncRNA from 1 species